rnacentral:rRNA from 1 species
UUAAAAUUUGAUUCUGGUUUGAAAUUUCAUUAAUUGAAUAUUUUACAUGUAAAUUUUGGUGCGUAAUUAAUAAGUCUUAAGGACUAUAAAUUUUAUUAUUCGCAGUAAAGAAUAUUAAUCUCUUAGGGUAACCUAGAAUUGGUGAUUUAAUUUAACAUUGGCUAAAUUCGUGCCAGCCGCCGCGGUUAUACGUGGAAUGUAAGUGAAUUAUUUUAGUAUAAGAGUUAAUUUGAUUCUAAUUUUUAACUAAAGUUAAAUUUAUUUUUAAAGGUGGAAUUUGAAUAACUAAAAUGACUUUAUAUCAAAGUUUAAUGAGACUCUGAAAUUUUAAUAAUAAACUAGGAUUAGAUACCCUAUUAUAUAAAAAGUUAAGUUGAUAAUACUAGGGUAGUAGUAGUUAAGGUCUUGAAACCCAAAGAAUUUGGCGGUGUUUUAUUCUAGUCAGAGGAAUUUGCCCCGUAACCGAUAGUACGCGUUUUAAUUAACUUAAUUUUGAAUUUCAGUAUGUAUACCGCCGUCAUAAGAAUAUCUUUAGAGAGCUAAUUUUCUUAAUAUUUAUAUAAGAAAUAUGUCAGGUCGAGGUGCAGCUUAUAAUUAAGUGGAGGUGAAUUACAAUAAAGUUAUUUAAACGGAUUUUAUUAUGUAAUUAAUAAAUAAAGGUGGAUUUGGAAGUAAUGUUGUUUUAUUAUGAUAGCAUGAUUAUAGCUCUAAAACAUGUACACAUCGCCCGUCGCUCUCGUUAAUAAGGUGAGAUAAGUCGUAACAAAGUAGGCGUACUGGAAAGUGUGCCUAGAAAGAU